rnacentral:rRNA from 1 species
AUCGAACGCUGGCGGCAGGCCUAAUACAUGCAAGUCGAACGAGUGGCGGACGGGUGAGUAAUGUCUGGGAAACUGCCUGAUGGAGGGGGAUAACUACUGGAAACGGUAGCUAAUACCGCAUACCAUCGGAUGUGCCCUGAUGGGAUGAGCUAGUAGGUGGGGUAACGGCUCACCUAGGCGACGAUCCCUAGCUGGUCUGAGAGGAGGACCAGCAACACUGGAACUGAGACACGGUCCAGACUCCUACUGGAGGCAGAAGUGGGGAAUAUUGGACAAUGGGCGCAAGCCUGAUGCAGCAAUGCCGCGUGUAUGAAGAAGGCUUUCGGGUUGUAAAGUACUUUGAGCGGGGAGGCGUUACCCGCAGAAGAAGCGCCGGCUAACUCCGUGCCAGCAGCCGCGGUAAUAC